UACAGAGGGUGCAAACGUUGCUCGGAUUUACUGGGCGUAAAGCGCGUGUAGGCGGAUGGGUAAGUCAGAUGUGAAAUCCCUGGGCUCAACCUAGGAACUGCACCUGAAACUGCCCAUCUAGAGUAGUGGAGAGGAGAGCGGAAUUCCUGGUGUAGAGGUGAAAUUCGUAGAUAUCAGGAGGAACACCGGUGGCGAAGGCGGCUCUCUGGACACUUACUGACGCUGAGACGCGAAAGCGUGGGGAGCAAACAGG
rnacentral:rRNA from 1 species